rnacentral:lncRNA from 1 species
AGAUGGCUCUCUUCAUCACUAAACAAUUGGAACUGGUUUGUAUCAUCUCAUUGUGAAGAGAGCCACAUCCAUCAGAACUGAGCAUCGUAUAAUCUUGUUGCCGUGUUCAAUGAUCUCCUGGUCCUGCUCAUUUCACUCUGCAUCAGUUCAUAUAAAGGAUUGACUCCCUCUUUCAUCACAACUAGGAUCCAGAACAUAGGUGGUCAUGACCUCCCCGACUUCUCAAG